CCUACGGGAGGCAGCAGUGGGGAAUUUUGGACAAUGGGCGCAAGCCUGAUCCAGCCAUUCCGCGUGAGUGAAGAAGGCCUUCGGGUUGUAAAGCUCUUUCGCAAGGGAAGAAAACUUACUCAAUAACACUGGGUGAGGCUGACGGUACCUUGAUAAGAAGCACCGGCUAACUACGUGCCAGCAGCCGCGGUAAUACGUAGGGUGCGAGCGUUAAUCGGAAUUACUGGGCGUAAAGCGUGCGCAGGCGGUUUUGUAAGUCAGAUGUGAAAUCCCCGGGCUCAACCUGGGAACUGCGUUUGAAACUACAAGGCUAGAGUAUGGGAGAGGGAGGUAGAAUUCCACGUGUAGCAGUGAAAUGCGUAGAGAUGUGGAGGAAUACCAAUGGCGAAGGCAGCCUCCUGGCCUAAUACUGACGCUCAUGCACGAAAGCGUGGGGAGCA
rnacentral:rRNA from 1 species